rnacentral:rRNA from 1 species
AGUGCCUCACACCAUCAAAACUCGGCAAGUCGAAACUAUUAGACUAGGAGCUAUAGGUAGGGGUAAAGGGAAUCUCCAGUGGAGCGGUGAAAUGCGUAGAGAUUGGAAAGAACACCGAUGGCGAAGGCACUUUACUGGGCUAUUACUAACACUCACAGACGAAAGCUAGGGUAGCAAAUGGGAUUAGAUACCCCAGUAGUCCUAGCCGUAAACAAUGGAUACUAGAUGUUGAACAGAUCGACCUGUGCAGUAUCAAAGCUAACGCGUUAAGUAUCCCGCCUGGGAAGUAUGCUCGCAAGAGUGAAACUCAAAGGAAUUGACGGGG